rnacentral:rRNA from 1 species
CAGUAGCCACGGUAAUACGAAGGGUGCAAGCGUUAAUCGGAAUUACUGGGCGUAAAGCGUGCGUAGGCGGUAAGUUAAGUCUGCUGUGAAAUCCCCGGGCUCAACCUGGGAAUGGCAGUGGAUACUGGCUCGCUAGAGUGUGUCAGAGGAUGGUGGAAUUCCCGGUGUAGCGGUGAAAUGCGUAUAGAUCGGGAGGAACAUCAGUGGCGAAGGCGGCCAUCUUGGACAACACUGACGCUGAGGCACGAAAGCGUGGGGAGCAAACAGGAUUAGAUACCCGCGUAGUCCCUGUCUCUUAUAC